AGGUGACCUGCGGAAGGAUCAUUACCUAGAGUUUGUAGACUUCGGUCUGCUACCUCUUACCCAUGUCUUUUGAGUACCUUCGUUUCCUCGGCGGGUCCGCCCGCCGAUUGGACAACAUUCAAACCCUUUGCAGUUGCAAUCAGCGUCUGAAAAAACAUAAUAGUUACAACUUUCAACAACGGAUCUCUUGGUUCUGGCAUCGAUGAAGAACGCAGCGAAAUGCGAUAAGUAGUGUGAAUUGCAGAAUUCAGUGAAUCAUCGAAUCUUUGAACGCACAUUGCGCCCCUUGGUAUUCCAUGGGGCAUGCCUGUUCGAGCGUCAUUUGUACCUUCAAGCUCUGCUUGGUGUUGGGUGUUUGUCUCGCCUCUGCGUGUAGACUCGCCUUAAAACAAUUGGCAGCCGGCGUAUUGAUUUCGGAGCGCAGUACAUCUCGCGCUUUGCACUCAUAACGACGACGUCCAAAAGUACAUUUUUACACUCUUGACCUCGGAUCAGGUAGGGAUACCCGCUGAACUUAAGCAUAUCAAUAAGCGGAGGAAAAGAAACCAACAGGGAUUGCCCUAGUAACGGCGAGUGAAGCGGCAACAGCUCAAAUUUGAAAUCUGGCGUCUUUGGCGUCCGAGUUGUAAUUUGCAGAGGGCGCUUUGGCAUUGGCAGCGGUCCAAGUUCCUUGGAACAGGACGUCACAGAGGGUGAGAAUCCCGUACGUGGUCGCUAGCCUUUACCGUGUAAAGCCCCUUCGACGAGUCGAGUUGUUUGGGAAUGCAGCUCUAAAUGGGAGGUAAAUUUCUUCUAAAGCUAA
rnacentral:rRNA from 1 species